GUCUUUUAGAAUUAAAUUUAAAGUCUAACCUGCCCACUGAAAAUUUUAAAUGGCCGCAGUAUUCUAACUGUGCAAAGGUAGCAUAAUCAUUAGUCUUUUAAUUGAAGGCUGGAAUGAAUGGUUGGACGAAAUAUUAACUGUUUCAUUUAAAUUUUUUAUAGAAUUUUAUUUUUUAGUCAAAAAGCUAAAAUUAAUUUAAAAGACGAGAAGACCCUAUAAAUCUUUAUAUUUUGUUUAUUUUAAUUAUAAAGAUUAUUUUUAUUAUAAUAAGUUAAAAUAUUUUAUUGGGGUGAUAUUAAAAUUUAAAAAACUUUUAAUUUUUAAAACCAUUAAUUUAUGAAUAAUUGAUCCAUUAAUAAUGAUUAAAAAUUUAAGUUACUUUAGGGAUAACAGCGUAAUUUUUUUGGAGAGUUCAUAUCGAUAAAAAAGAUUGCGACCUCGAUGUUGGAUUAAGAUAUAAUUUUGGGUGUAGCCGUUCAAAUUUUAAGUCUGUUCGACUUUUAAAUUCUU
rnacentral:rRNA from 1 species